ACUCCUACGGGAGGCAGCAGUGGGGAAUAUUGCACAAUGGGCGCAAGCCUGAUGCAGCCAUGCCGCGUGUGUGAAGAAGGCCUUCGGGUUGUAAAGUACUUUCAGCAGUGAGGAAGGUGGAGUCGUUAAUAGCGGCCCAUUUGAUCGUUAGCUGCAGAAGAAGCACCGGCUAACUCCGUGCCAGCAGCCGCGGUAAUACGGAGGGUGCGAGCGUUAAUCGGAAUUACUGGGCGUAAAGCGCAUGCAGGUGGCUUUGUUAAGUCAGAUGUGAAAGCCCGGGGCUCAACCUCGGAAUUGCAUUUGAAACUGGCGACUAGAGUACUGUAGAGGGGGGUAGAAUUUCAGGUGUAGCGGUGAAAUGCGUAGAGAUCUGAAGGAAUACCAGUGGCGAAGGGGCCCCCUGGACAAAGACUGACGCUCAGAUGCGAAAGCGUGGGGAGCAAACAGGAUUNGAUACCCUGGUA
rnacentral:rRNA from 1 species